rnacentral:rRNA from 1 species
UCGGGAGGGGAUUAGUGGCGAACGGGUGAGUAACACGUGGGCAAUCUGCCCUGCACUCUGGGACAAGCCCUGGAAACGGGGUCUAAUACCGGAUACUGACCCGCUUGGGCAUCCAAGCGGUUCGAAAGCUCCGGCGGUGCAGGAUGAGCCCGCGGCCUAUCAGCUUGUUGGUGAGGUAAUGGCUCACCAAGGCGACGACGGGUAGCCGGCCUGAGAGGGCGACCGGCCACACUGGGACUGAGACACGGCCCAGACUCCUACGGGAGGCAGCAGUGGGGAAUAUUGCACAAUGGGCGAAAGCCUGAUGCAGCGACGCCGCGUGAGGGAUGACGGCCUUCGGGUUGUAAACCUCUUUCAGCAGGGAAGAAGCGAAAGUGACGGUACCUGCAGAAGAAGCGCCGGCUAACUACGUGCCAGCAGCCGCGGUAAUACGUAGGGCGCGAGCGUUGUCCGGAAUUAUUGGGCGUAAAGAGCUCGUAGGCGGCUUGUCACGUCGGUUGUGAAAGCCCGGGGCUUAACCCCGGGUCUGCAGUCGAUACGGGCAGGCUAGAGUUCGGUAGGGGAGAUCGGAAUUCCUGGUGUAGCGGUGAAAUGCGCAGAUAUCAGGAGGAACACCGGUGGCGAAGGCGGAUCUCUGGGCCGAUACUGACGCUGAGGAGCGAAAGCGUGGGGAGCGAACAGGAUUAGAUACCCUGGUAGUCCACG